UAUCACAAAACUCCUCUUUUUCAUUCGGACCUUACCCACCCACCGCUCACCCUACUGCCCACGCCGCCGCCGAGCGGCAUCGACCCCACUGCCUCUCCUCCGCUGAAAUCUCCGGCGAAGAACGUGAACGUUUCUUGCGUCGGUGGUAGAGUUUCGUGGGGUUGGGGUGGUACCUUAACAGGGGUGGGUUCCAUGGAUGGCAACUGAAGGAACGGCGGUUAGGGUUGUGUUUGGCUUCACUGAUUGUUAUGGUGUUUGUGUUUGAAUUUUGGGUUGUGGUGAAAUAGGUUGUGACUGAUUUUCUGAUUGGGUUCCUUUUUGUGUGUUGGAGGGCAGUGGAUGCCGAUUUGGGGUGGGUGUUUGGAUGCCUUUUUCUACUCGGCGGUUGUGCUAUCUGUGCUAGAGUUGGAUUUUCUCGUGAAUACUGAAAAUUAGGGAUUUUUAGUAGGAAUUCAUUUAGCAAUUACAGAUACUAUAUCAGGUCUGUGUUUGGGAAAAACUUGGUUUUGUAGGUUGAUUUUCUGUGUUUCCGAAAAUCCAUUGAGAAUUUAGAGAAAAAUUUCAGGUUUUUUUUUUUUACUGAAAACAGACGGUUUUAUAGGGGAUUUGGAGGAAUGAAAAACGCUUCUAGGCUUAGAAAAGAAGCUGAGCAAAUAGAAUUGCCCCCAAGUUUUCGAUUUCACCCGACAGAUGAAGAACUUAUAACUCACUAGCUUUCCCAAAGGUUCUUGACACCAACUUCUCUGCUAUAGCAAUCGGCGAGUUCGAUCUUAAGCACCAGAGAUUUUAGCAGAGGAGAGGCAGUGGGUCGGUGGUGCUCGAUGGUGGCGUCACUAGCGUGGGCAUGCGCAGUGGGUAACGUCUGAAUGGGAAAGAGCUAGAGGAGUUUUGUUAUACCUUGAGGAGUAAUUGUGUGUUUGGUUUAUUUGAUUAAUUUGGUGUUAUAUGCUGAUGUGUUCAUUCCUUAUUGAAGGUCAUGGUUUAUGCCAAGACCACAUAGAAGUUAUUCUCUUUGAACAAACACCUAUUAUCCACAACAUCCGAAACAAUAACAGCUCUUUUUCAUCUCCAUGUUCUGAGGCCUUCUCCCUCCCUUGGUCACUUGGGCAUUCUAACAAGCACCUAACAAGACUUACAGAACGUUCAGCAAACCCAGAAAGAAUAACAGCAGUAUGAGCUCACAACGCAGACAUUCAAAGGAAGAAAUCUGAUUGAGAUGCGGGAGAGACUGGAUUUUUAUUUUUUACCCGAGGGAAAGAAUCGAAUGCGAAGGGUUCGGGCUUCCGGCCGUGAGGGAGAAGAAUGGAUGGCAGAAGGCGCAAUACCUUCCUUUCAGGAUUGAUGUGGGCAUCGUCGUGAGAUAUGGAAAAUUACAAAAUGUGCAACCACAACCUUGCGAGCCAUCUACCAAGCCAAUUGGAGAUUGUCCACACCUCUUGAACAACAGAUACAAUUGGUUCAAAUCACUAUGCCGACAGAGGAACAUGGCGAAUAUCUUUUCAAGAAUCAACUUCUAGAGGAAUAGCCAUAUUCCCAAGAAAACUCGAUGGCGAGUUUUGUGUUAGUGGGGGUAACUAUUGUAGGACAAGAAUUCCAUCUUGUUCCCGAGAUCGAUGCUCUUAUUAUCGAGUGGGCUCGACAUGACAUCAGGAUUGUUAACAAACGGGCUUGUUCAGGAACAAUCUUACCGUCGAACAAAGUUGUUUACCGAAUAGUUAUUAGCAAGCCGGGACGAAAAUGUUUUAUAUUCGGAACCAAACAUUAGGUUCUAAUGAGUAGACUACAUUAAGCAGGACAUUUUGUAUCAUCGGCACCAAGUGGACAUGAGGACAACUAAUAUCUGGUGGUGGAAGUACAAAAGGAAACGACUACCGGCCGGGUCAAUGAAGAGCGAGAAGUACAACUAAUAUCUGAAGUUUAUACCUUACACAUUACAAGCAUGCAAGCAAGGGUUUCAAGAUCUUGGUGCUUCUUCUCUGCAGACUGCUCACGACCUCUUAAGAAGAGGGGUAUUAAGGCUAGAGGUCCGGAUAGGGGCAACACAAAUUGAAGGCAAUGUCCAUGGCCUUGUUUCUUAUGAAAAGAAACCAUUUUGAUAUUAGAAUCCC